rnacentral:lncRNA from 1 species
GACACAGGCAGAGGGAGAAGCAGGCUCCAUGCACCGGGAGCCCGACGUGGGAUUCGAUCCCGGGUCUCCAGGAUCGCGCCCUGGGCCAAAGGCAGGCGCCAAACUGCUGCGCCACCCAGGGAUCCCCUGUUGUCUUGAUUUUUAACACUAAACAUUUUUUUUUUCCUUCUGGCUUCAGCAACUGGACUUACUAUUCUACUUCUUUUUUUUUUUUUAAUUAAAAAGAAAAUUCACAGACAUAUGGAGAGGAUAGUUUUUUUUUUUUUUUUUUAAGGUUUACAUAUUUGGGUGAGAAAGCAGAGCUCACACACACAUGUGAGUGGGGAGAGGGGCAGAGAGAGAGAGAGAGAUCUUAGGCAGACUCCCCUGCUGAGCAUGGAGCUAAAGUGGGGCUAGAUCUCUGGACCCUGAGAUUAUGACCUGAGCUGAAAUCAAGAGCUGGAUGCUUAACCGACUGAGCCACCCAUGGAUCCCCACUCUUUUCUAUCACUGGCUUACUCAUCUCUUCUUCCUCUUUCUUCACUGUCUCUCUCCCUACCUUUUCCCUUUGUCCAAAUUAACUGAGCACUGUGAUUUCAAUCCUAAACCCUCAUCCAGUUGUGUAGUGAAGACAGCUAUUAAUUAAUUAGUUGAUUAAUUAACCGCUUGCUAAGCUGGACAAAAUGGACAGAAUUCCCUAUCUUUGUUGAAUUUUCUUUCCCUAGAGGGACAUAGGGAUUGGCUAACAAAAUAAGUAAGUAAAUUAUAUAAUUUAUUAGAUGGUGCUAAAUCCUACAAAGAGAACCAAGGCAGAGAAAAGGGAUAGGAGUUUGGGAAGUUGAAAUUUUAUGAAGGAUGGUCAGGAAAGAUACUGCUUUUUUUCAUUAAUUAUAAAGAGGUGACCUUGUCACUUCUUAAAUGUUUUUAGAUGUUUAUUCUGUGACCAUUAAAACAUUUUCCCUGAAAGUGGCAUUUGGGUUCCAGUUCAAACCCUGGAGAUUAAAUUAUGACACGUUAUGAUCAUUUAAAAAAUUUUUACUGUAAUGUGCAAAUAAGAGGCUAUUUGACUUACAGCCUGGAGAAUGUGAUGGGUUUAUAGCAGUCUUAUAAUAUCAGAUGAUGAUUCUAGGGCAUACAUCCUCAGGAUCUUCUCUAGACCUAUGUUUAAAAUUGUCAUAUAUGAAAGCAAUAUGAAAGAGAAUAGCACUAUGAUAAUUUAUAAGACAGCUGUUUGGGACAAGCAGGAUAUGACAGUCAGUUUCUUUCUUCUUUACAUUUCCUUCCAUCUCUACCUCUUUUCUUUGCUCUAGACUUAGUGUUUUGUAUGUGCUGGAUUUCAUUCAUUUGGCAAUCCACUGUCACACCAAAUUAGUGAGAAUGUGAUGAACCUCUAAUUGGCCAUUGCAUUGUACACAAACCUCCUCUGUUUGUUCUGGGUAACACCAGGCGUCCCAUAAAUUGGUAAUUUGACUGUCAGUAUCUAUAAUGCUCUUGACAAUAAGACAAACGCAACUCUGUGUGAUCCUAUUCUGAAACACUGAUCUUCAGACUAUGUGUAAAAGGAUACAGGGGUGGGGAAAAAAAAAAGAUACAGGGGUGGGGUUUCUCUUCACUCCUCAGAAAGGAAGGGGGAGCAAACAGGAAAUGAACAAUUUAGGAGAAUACUCAACAAUGUGUCACCCAGUCAGACUGUUCACUGCAGCCACCCCUUCUCAGCUGCGAGUGUGAGCAGAAAUGAAUCAGGCUCUGUGAUGUUUGGUAGUUUCGCUAAUGAAAGAUCCCUUAAUGCCUUUUAGGAAACUUUGGGCAGGACUCCAGCCAUAGGCAGUGCUUCCUCUACCACCUGCUGUCAUAUUUCUCUCCUUGUGUGUGUUUCUUUAUUGUUUUUGAUUUUAGAGAUAAUUGUGUAUGAUUAAGAUAGUUGAAAUUUUUAAUUUUCAUUUUCCUUGCUAUUACUGUUAUUCCAUACCUGAAUACACUUCCUCCUGCUUUUUCUUUUCUUUUUUUCCUGUUUUCUGACAGUGGAAAUAAGUUAACUAAACCUUCAUGGGGGAGAAAAAAGAAAACAACAAUAAACCCUUGUUUUAAAUAAAUCUUCCUAAUAAGAGAAAUCAUUGUAGCUAUUACCACAAAUACAUUUAUUGUGGAAGAAUUUAGGACCUGUCCUGGAAAAAAGAUGAAUUACAAUUAUUUACAAAAGUUUGCUUUCAGCAUCCUUCCUGAAGGUGUGGAGACACACUGGGGAGGCUCUGGGACAGAGUGAAAACAUAGGAUGGGCUCAGUUAAUGAUAGAGCAGUAGUGUAUUAGGGCUGUGUAUAAGAAUAAGUUCUCUUGCCCUGGAAUAAUUGAUGUCAAAUUCUUCCUACCCAUUAACAUGCAAAGCUGAUUGAUUAGCUCUGUGGCAUCUUUAUUUUCUUUGAAAUGACUUGAUCUUAGGAGAGUGGACUUCUGAAAAAUCCUAUCAAAUAUCUCUGAGUAUGUUUCUGGUGGCUUCUCAGUUAUGCUAUUCAACACAGUACUUCAACAGUGUUUAAAAAAAAACAGUGUUUCCAUUCAGUGGAGAAAAACAUUUUGAAAAACCAGAAAGAUAUAUUUUUUAAGCAUAUAUCUUCAUUAGCAGUUGCCCUAACUGUUGAAUUAGUGGUGGAAGCAACUUUGAAUAGAUGGAUAGAGGGAUGGUUGGAUAGAUGGGUGAGUUUAUGAGUGGACAGAUAGAUAGUAGAUGGAUAAUAGAUUUCCUUUCUGGUUUCAGAAGAUCUUGACAGGGCCUUGAUUAUCAUUCAUUCAAGAUAUACUGUAUAUAAGUAUACUAGUGAGUGUUUGGGAAAUGGGUUAGUACCAUUCUUGAGUGACUGGUGGUUUUUAGUUCUCUCUCUCUAGUUCUCCCUCCCUCCCUCCCUCCCUCCUUCCUUCCUUCCCUCCCCUCCUUUCUCUCUUUCAUCAUUGGAUAGGUCUCAAAUCUCUGACUUGACUAAAAAUUGAGUGGUUUGGGCUAUAAUAAAAAA